rnacentral:rRNA from 1 species
AAAACGACUCUAGACWACGGAUAUCUCGGCUCUCGYAUCGAUGAAGAACGUAGCAAAAUGCGAUACUUGGUGUGAAUUGCAGAAUCCCGUGAACCAUCGAGUCUUUGAACGCAAGUUGCGCCGGAAGCSAWUAGGCCGAGGGSAGGUCAGCUUGGGCGUCACGY